rnacentral:rRNA from 1 species
CGGAGAGUUUGAUCCUGGCUCAGGAUGAACGCUGGCGGCGUGCCUAAUACAUGCAAGUCGAACGCUUUGUGGUUCAACUGAUUUGAAGAGCUUGCUCAGAUAUGACGAUGGACAUUGCAAAGAGUGGCGAACGGGUGAGUAACACGUGGGAAACCUACCUCUUAGCAGGGGAUAACAUUUGGAAACAGAUGCUAAUACCGUAUAACAAUAGCAACCGCAUGGUUGCUACUUAAAAGAUGGUUCUGCUAUCACUAAGAGAUGGUCCCGCGGUGCAUUAGUUAGUUGGUGAGGUAAUGGCUCACCAAGACGAUGAUGCAUAGCCGAGUUGAGAGACUGAUCGGCCACAAUGGGACUGAGACACGGCCCAUACUCCUACGGGAGGCAGCAGUAGGGAAUCUUCCACAAUGGGCGAAAGCCUGAUGGAGCAACGCCGCGUGUGUGAUGAAGGGUUUCGGCUCGUAAAACACUGUUGUAAGAGAAGAAUGACAUUGAGAGUAACUGUUCAAUGUGUGACGGUAUCUUACCAGAAAGGAACGGCUAAAUACGUGCCAGCAGCCGCGGUAAUACGUAUGUUCCAAGCGUUAUCCGGAUUUAUUGGGCGUAAAGCGAGCGCAGACGGUUAUUUAAGUCUGAAGUGAAAGCCCUCAGCUCAACUGAGGAAUUGCUUUGGAAACUGGAUGACUUGAGUGCAGUAGAGGAAAGUGGAACUCCAUGUGUAGCGGUGAAAUGCGUAGAUAUAUGGAAGAACACCAGUGGCGAAGGCGGCUUUCUGGACUGUAACUGACGUUGAGGCUCGAAAGUGUGGGUAGCAAACAGGAUUAGAUGCCCUGGUAGUCCACACCGUAAACGAUGAGUGCU